GUGGAUUAGAUACCCUGGUAGUCCACGCCCUAAACGAUGUCUACUAGUUGUUGGGUCUUAAUUGACUUAGUAACGCAGCUAACGCGUGAAGUAGACCGCCUGGGGAGUACGGUCGCAAGAUUAAAACUCAAAGGAAUUGACGGGGACCCGCACAAGCGGUGGAUGAUGUGGAUUAAUUCGAUGCAACGCGAAAAACCUUACCUACCCUUGACAUGUACAGAAUGCCGAAGAGAUUUGGCGGUGCUCGCAAGAGAACUGUAACACAGGUGCUGCACGGUCGUCGUCAACU
rnacentral:rRNA from 1 species